UCCCUAAGUCCCUGCAGUGGCAUUUGCUGAGAUGUAUGGUAAAAGUCUCCACACCACAUGCGCAGUGGAACACAGAAGCACAGGGAUAUCUGGAGGAAUCCCAAAAACCCAAUCUGAGGAAAAUUGUAUCCUGAUCCAGGAGAGUUUCAACCCCAUGGUACAGGCUACAUCCAGCAGCACGAGGCAGGCUAAGCUGUUCUCCAGAUAACCUUUUGUACUGAGAGGAAUCACUGCCUAGAAACAUGGGAUACACUGUGAAAGGGAAGAUGCAUUUGUGAAACGGCAAUUUAGCGAAAAUGCAAGAAGCCUUAUAAAGUUGAAAGUGCUCAUGUAAACUAAAGCACUUUUGGCUCUGUGUACUUGCAUCAGAGAACGUUCAUGGCCCCAAAGUUGAGAACAGACUCCAUCCUUAGAAGUUUACACAACUGGAUAAAGCCCUGAGAAACAUGAUCUGAUACUGCGUUGAAUGGAAGAUUUAGCUAGUGACCUCCUAAAGUCCCCUCCAGUUUGAGUUAUACUAUCAUUCUGUGAUUUAUGCUGAAUGUCUUCCCUAGAUAUUUUUAAAAGAUUUUAUUUUUUUGCUACAGAAGUUUGAAUAAAGAUGCUUCAGGUAUUCACUGGAGAAGUAUGAUAAGUAUUAGUUGUAUGUAAUAUAUAUAUAUAGUGAAUGCUGUAUUUUGUGAGAGUAGGUGUUAUAAAGCUGGAGAAUUUCUGUGUUAAUAUUGAAUAAGUCAGUAAACCCACAUGCAUAGACAGGCCCUACCACUGUGAAUCUGAAAAGAGGAAAUGCUGUCAGCAGGCAGAUGAGGCAGCUUAUGUUGUUUUGGAAAUCCUGCCUCCCUUAUUGGCUUAUGCAAGACCUUUGACUUGCAAAGACUAUGCAAGUUUAUGGCCAAAAGGCUCACGCUACAGGGAUUUAGGGCUCCAUCCAUAACAGGCCUUUUGGAAAAUGAAGCACAGUCAAUAGGAUGGCAGGGAGGGAAUUACAGAAAGAGAAGACAAGAAUAUCUCUCUCCUUUUCUGUUUUUGAUGGUACUAGCAGCAGUGGCUGCUGAGUUGAAGGCUGGCAAGAAUAGCUGAUCACUUUCCAUUUCUUGUGUUGUGCUGUUGUCUUGACAGUUUGCUGUCUGAGUCACUGUCAGAGGGAGAUUUUUAGCUAAGAGGGAACAGAAGAGGCAUUUGGGAUUCUGAUCCCUGUUAGGUUUCUUUCACGAGACUUUUACUUAGGUGAUCAAACUUAGAAGGAGUAUAAGGGAAUUUGAUUCCAAGUGGAGAUAAGAAUUUUGCAUUCUUCUGGAACUCUUUUUUAAGAAUGGAUGAAGCUGUUCAUCUCAAUUUAGAAAGAAUAAUUCAUUUCUUCAAAUACUUACUCUGAAUUUAUAGAGAAAGUAUACAAUUAUGCUGGUCAAUAUUAAAUCAAACCUCUUGCUAUUUAUCCUCUCCCAAACAGGUACCUAAUGUGGGUUUUCUCAGUCCCAGAAUGUUGGUAGUUUGAGACUGUGCCAUGUAUCAAGAAGGUCCCUCUCUAAAGGUUCAAUAUUCUUUGAACCUUAUUUAUUUAUUUAUUUUAUCCUGCAGAAAAAAACAUGGGGGGGAAAAAAAAAAACAAACAUGAGAGGAUGAGAGGAUUCUUACAAAAGGUAAAGUAUUUGGAAUUUUAUAACUGUACAGAUAAAAGUAGGGAUGGAAUUUUGUGAUAAAUUUCUGACUCAUGGUGAAAAAUUUUAAGACUAUAUUGCCUAAAUACUGUGCAGAAUUCUGUUUUGAGAGAGCUGUGUGACGCUUUACUAUGUAUUAUUAUUAUUAAAAUGAAGAAGGUGAAUAUAUUUUUAACUUAAAAGGGUAGAAUGUAUUGUUUACAUCUUCUAUUUCAUUAAUAUUUGAGUGUCUGUUUUAUGUUUAAUAAAUGUGUAUCAGUUGUGGCCAUUAAGACAGCAAACCAUUUUAAAGCGACUGAAUAAAUUGCCUUGUAU
ensembl:lncRNA